UCAGCUGAGAGCGACGCACGUAAUAUUAUUUUGUAAACAUGGAAGGACCACCAGCCAAGAAGAGACGACCUAAUUUCAGUGAGGCUGAAGUAUACGCUCUUGUGACUGAGGUAGCCAAACGAAAAGAAAUGAUUUUAGGGAAGUUGGACUCAAGUAGUUGUACACUUCAACUCAAAACCAGCCUGGGGUGAAGUGUUAAAUGCGGUGAAUGCUGUUGGUAGAGUCACCCGCAAUGUUACUGAAAUUCGGCGGAAGUUUUCCUUCGUGUUAGCGUUACGAAAAAAGCAGCACAAGAUAAGAAAUAUGCUGGUGGAACAGGUGGCGGCCCCCAAAUUGAAAUUACAUACACUGCAAUUGAAGAUGCAAUUCUUCAACUAUUAGAUCCAGCCUCUAUACAUGGGAUUCCAGGGGAUGUUGAAAGUGAAGAACCUAUUACUGAAGAAGAAAGAGAACCAACCCCCGGACCCUCAGGAGCUAGGUUUACAGCUAGUUGUUUCCGAGAGGAAUUUAUGUUUCGGCUCGUUCAAGAGAAAGAUGAUUCUAUAACCCUCAUUCUGAAUGAGGAUAUACAGGAACAUGAUAUCACAGUACCCAUUGUGCAUUUAGAACCUGAAACUUCAGCACCUACAAACAUUCCUGGAUUUUCAUCAUCCGGAACAUAUGAGGUAGAGAAACAUGUAGUUCAAGCAAUACUCGUCAACCUAUUGCUGCUACCACGGAACAGCGAAGUAGGUAUAGUACCCCUUCUGCCACAGCUGUUAGGUCAACUGUAACUGGUGAUUACACUGAUGAAAUGGGUUCACCUCCAAUCCCAAGUGCGAACAGAAGUGGCAGGAGGCCACGAACCUCUUCUGCACGAAAAGAUGAAGAUCUUCGAGAGAGAUGCUUCGUGUUCAAACACAAAUGAGGGACAGUUUUUUACAGCUUGUAGCUAACACAGAGUGCAUUGCAUCUGCAAUGCUAUGCAUUGCAAAAGUUAUGCAGUCGAAAAAUCCUAUCCAAUGAUGCUGUGUUUAUGGUACAAUAUGUGUAUAUGUAGUUGUUUACUUAGGUAAGUCCUUUACUUUUGGUAAAUGUGAUAAUAGCGUAGUUGAAAAGUCAUCAAACAUUUAUUGUAAAUUUUCCUUUGAGUGAUUGUUAUGAAGGAAGACGGCUUGUUAAAAAAUUGUGUAACUUUCACUUGCAGCCUAUACUAGUCAUGAAAAUGUAACAGGAAUAUUUAGCUCUCCAUAAGUUCAUUAAAAUCACGAAGCUAAGUGAAAGACACACAUUUGUCAACUAAUAACAUGGGUUGCAGUGCUACUACGGGUAAUGUUUACCCAGGUUUUGGGUAAAAGUUCCUACCACACUCAAAAUUAUGUUUGAAAACAGGCUUAUGUACACAUUUUUAUUUUUUAAAGGUUCCUUUAUUUUGUAAGACGUAGUCAAUUUCCAGUUCAACGAGUUUUAUUUAUUAGUUUGUAGUUUGUGAAGUAUGAUUCAAGUAGGUUGAAACAGAAAUAAUGGUGCAAAUUCACCAACAGCCUACUGUAAUCGCUGCUAUUUAACACACAUUAGUCUCCAAAGCGCAAGUUGUUGCAUUGGAUCUUUCAUAAGGAUGUGCUGUCUCAUGUUACAUUUUAUAGCUUAACAAGCAAAGAGUAUUCUAUUUUUUUCUUUAUUACUUGUAGUAGUACAGUAUUGGGUUAUAAGUUUCUUUUAAUUUACUGGUAUUGAUGGAGGUAAUUCUAGACAUAUGAAAAUUAUACUGUAUUCCAUUCUUAAAUAAAAAAAAUGGCAACAAAUAACAGUAGUUGUAUCAUUAUUUCACAACGAUGUGGUGACCCAUGUCAAAUUGUGUAGUUUAAGAUGCAAACAGUUGCAAUAUUUUUUAUUGUUUCAAUUUCUCAAAUAUGUUUUAUGUAAGGGUUUUUUGUUUCACAAACUUUAGUGCCUUUGGUAUUUAGUAGUAUUAAAAGUAUACUGUAUUGGAAUCAAAUUUGCUCAAGGAUAUAGUACAUAUAUUAUUAAGGUAAAAGAAAGCCAUUUAAUUUCUAUAAAGAAGUUUAUUUUUUUAUGUACAGAAUAUUGAAAAUAAAAGUUAAAUCAA
rnacentral:lncRNA from 1 species